GCAGUUACCCUACAGAUCAGUACAGCAGUUAUCCCACAUGCACCAGUACAGCAGUUACCCUACACACCAGUACAGCACUUAUCCAUCCCCACACCAGUACUGCAGCUAUCCCCACACCAGUACAGCAGCUAUCCCCCAUGCCUGACUUUGUGGCUAGAACCCUCUAGCUGCAGCACUGGCUCAGCAAAUUUCCAGCAGAGCAUACAGCAUGGUACAGCUGUGCAGGAGACCUCAGGUCCACCAGGGUCUGCUGGAGCUGGUAGUCACUCUCUCACUGCUGCUGCCAAAGGGAGAAACACCAACGAAAUCAGACCCUCCAGGCUGCCACCAGAGCGACAGAGGAGCAAGGACCACUACAGGCAAAGGGUGAAGAGAUGCUCUGCAAGUCAACCCAAGAUGGAAGGAGAAGAAAAGUCACUAGGAGAGGUGCUGCUGCCUCAUCCUGGCUUUGUCAUUCAGAUGCAAAUGGAAAUGCUCCAGCAUGAGACAAAGGCCGCUGACACCUUACAUUUAAUUCAACUCACAGAAGUCUACCGGCGCUAGGAGGAAAACAAAAAAAAUAAUCCCACAAAAAUCUUCUAUGUCUGUUUUGUCCCAGUUAUAAAUGGUACAAUCUGUGCUUUGUUCUCAA